AAUAUUGCCCAAUGGGCGAAAGCCUGAGGCAACCAUGCCGCGUGUGGAAGAAGGCCUUCGGUGUAAAGCACUUUUCAGUAGGGAGGAAAGGGUAUUAUUUAUAGGUAAUAUUUGUGAGGUUACCUACAGAAGAAAGACCGGCUAAAUUUGUGCCAGCAACCGCGGUAAUUCGGAGGGUCCGAGCGUUAAUUGGAAGACUUGGCGUAAAGGGUGCGCAGGCGGGUUGGUAAGCCAGAUGUGAAAUCCCCGGGCUCAACCUGGGAAUUGCAUUUGGAACUGGCGAACUAGAGUCUUGUAGAGGGGGGUAGAAUUCCAGGGUAGCGGUGAAAUGCGUAGAGAUCUGGAGGAAAACCGGUGGCGAAGGCGGCCCCCUGGACAAAGACUGACGCUCAUGCAUGAAAGCGUGGGGAGCAAACAGGAUUAGAUACCCUGGUAGUCCACGCCGUA
rnacentral:rRNA from 1 species